GCAAGUCGAGGGGUAACAGGAUUUAGUUUACUAGAUUGCUGACGACCGGCGCACGGGUGCGUAACGCGUAUGCAACCUACCUUUAACAGAGGGAUAGCCCGAAGAAAUUCGGAUUAAUACCUCAUAACACUGCGAAUUGGCAUCAAUUUGCAUUUAAAACUCCGGUGGUUAAAGAUGGGCAUGCGUGACAUUAGUUUGUUGGUGAGGUAACGGCUCACCAAGACUACGAUGUCUAGGGGUUCUGAGAGGAUGAUC
rnacentral:rRNA from 1 species